rnacentral:rRNA from 1 species
UACGAAGGGGCUAGCGUUGCUCGGAAUCACUGGGCGUAAAGGGUGCGUAGGCGGGUCUUUAAGUCAGGGGUGAAAUCCUGGAGCUCAACUCCAGAACUGCCUUUGAUACUGAGGAUCUUGAGUCCGGGAGAGGUGAGUGGAACUGCGAGUGUAGAGGUGAAAUUCGUAGAUAUUCGCAAGAACACCAGUGGCGAAGGCGGCUCACUGGCCCGGUACUGACGCUGAGGCACGAAAGCGUGGGAGCAAACAGG